rnacentral:tRNA from 1 species
GGCUAGGUGGUGGAAUGGUAGACACGUCAGACUCAGAAUCUGGUGGGCGCAACGCCCGUGAGGGUUCGACUCCCUUCCUGGCCA